rnacentral:lncRNA from 1 species
CAUGAUGUUGCAUUGUACUGAAAAGCCCUCUGGCUUCACAUAGCAAUGUGAGCCUUCAAUUUCACAUUCCUUAAAGUGAGGAGAGGCUCUUCUGGUUAGAAGCCCAGAUGCAAAAUGCAUCCAUCAAUUCCAGACUAGGCACUUCGCUGCAGCAAAGCUCCCAGGGUCUUUCGCAGCUUCAGAGAGCUGCCUAGCUCUGCUGCUUUGACCAAGGGACCUCUGUUAUUUAUUUAUCUUUCUCACACCUACUCAUUCAGAAGGAUUUCCUCAGAGGCUUCUGUUGCCCGGUUUUGUGCUAACUUUAGCUGACAAGUGUGGCUAAGCAAAAGAUUUGAUCUUUGCCCUUAAUGAGAGUACGCAAUAAUGAUGAGGUCAAAAAGAUGACCUUUCUUAGGUGUUGCCGGCGAUGCUCUGGCACCUCCUGAAAAACUCAGGGGCCCAGAGUCUGAGGAGUAUGAAGAAACAGGGCAGCCCCAGGGAAGACGAGGGGGGCCCAUGAAACAAAGCAAGUCGGCAUGACCAAGUUGAAACGUCGCUUCAUUUUCCAAGCUUGCAGCAAAUAUCCGUUACUAUCGCCAAAGGAGGAGAAGCUAAAUGCAAGUUUGGGAGGUUAUAAGGAAGGUAAUUUUCUUAUCUGAUUCUUCUCUCAAGAAGAUAAUUCUGGUAAUAUGGAGCUUGAAUGCAAAGCAAUAGACAAGAAACUCCCUUCCAAGGAUGAGGCCUCUUCCACAUUCGGCUUUCGUCUGAUUUAACAGCUCAAUUUCUUCAUCCUGCCACCUCCCUCAUGGUUUUUAUGAGACCUGGGAACUAUUAAAGAAUGCCAAAUACAAUUCA